UACGGAGGGUGCGAGCGUUGUCCGGAAUCACUGGGCGUAAAGGGCACGUAGGCGGCGCGGAAAGUCAACGGUGAAAGCUUGGGGCUCAACCCCGAGUCGGCCGUCGAUACUUCCGUGCUCGAGCACUGUAGAGGCAGGUGGAAUUCCGGGUGUAGCGGUGGAAUGCGUAGAGAUCCGGAAGAACACCGGUGGCGAAGGCGGCCUGCUGGGCAGUAGCUGACGCUGAUGCGCGACAGCGUGGGGAGCAAACAGG
rnacentral:rRNA from 1 species